UAUGGUCAAGUGAAGAAGCGCAUACGGUGGAUGCCUUGGCAGUCAGAGGCGAUGAAAGACGUGGUAGCCUGCGAAAAGCUUCGGGGAGUCGGCAAACAGACUUUGAUCCGGAGAUGUCUGAAUGGGGGAACCCAGCCAUCAUAAGAUGGUUACCUUACACUGAAUACAUAGGUGUAUGGAGCGAACCAGGGGAACUGAAACAUCUAAGUACCCUGAGGAAAAGAAAUCAACCGAGAUUCCCUUAGUAGUGGCGAGCGAACGGGGACUAGCCCUUAAGUGGCUUUGAGAUUAGCGGAACGCUCUGGAAAGUGCGGCCAUAGUGGGUGAUAGCCCUGUACGCGAAAAUCUCUUAGUCAUGAAAUCGAGUAGGACGGAGCACGAGAAACUUUGUCUGAAUAUGGGGGGACCAUCCUCCAAGGCUAAAUACUACUGACUGACCGAUAGUGAACUAGUACCGUGAGGGAAAGGCGAAAAGAACCCCGGAGAGGGGAGUGAAAUAGAUCCUGAAACCGUAUGCGUACAAGCAGUGGGAGCCCACUUUGUUGGGUGACUGCGUACCUUUUGUAUAAUGGGUCAGCGACUUAUUUUCAGUGGCGAGCUUAACCGAAUAGGGGAGGCGUAGCGAAAGCGAGUCUUAAUAGGGCGUCUAGUCGCUGGGAAUAGACCCGAAACCGGGCGAUCUAUCCAUGGGCAGGUUGAAGGUUGGGUAACACUAACUGGAGGACCGAACCGACUACCGUUGAAAAGUUAGCGGAUGACCUGUGGAUCGGAGUGAAAGGCUAAUCAAGCUCGGAGAUAGCUGGUUCUCCUCGAAAGCUAUUUAGGUAGCGCCUCAUGUAUCACUGUAGGGGGUAGAGCACUGUUUCGGCUAGGGGUCAUCCCGACUUACCAAACCGAUGCAAACUCCGAAUACCUACAAGUGCCGAGCAUGGGAGACACACGGCGGGUGCUAACGUCCGUCGUGAAAAGGGAAACAACCCAGACCGUCAGCUAAGGUCCCAAAGUUAUGGUUAAGUGGGAAACGAUGUGGGAAGGCUUAGACAGCUAGGAGGUUGGCUUAGAAGCAGCCACCCUUUAAAGAAAGCGUAAUAGCUCACUAGUCGAGUCGGCCUGCGCGGAAGAUGUAACGGGGCUCAAACCAUACACCGAAGCUACGGGUAUCACGUAAGUGAUGCGGUAGAGGAGCGUUCUGUAAGCCUGUGAAGGUGAGUUGAGAAGCUUGCUGGAGGUAUCAGAAGUGCGAAUGCUGACAUGAGUAACGACAAUGGGUGUGAAAAACACCCACGCCGAAAGACCAAGGUUUCCUGCGCAACGUUAAUCGACGCAGGGUUAGUCGGUCCCUAAGGCGAGGCUGAAAAGCGUAGUCGAUGGAAAACAGGUUAAUAUUCCUGUACUUCUGGUUAUUGCGAUGGAGGGACGGAGAAGGCUAGGCCAGCUUGGCGUUGGUUGUCCAAGUUUAAGGUGGUAGGCUGAGAUCUUAGGUAAAUCCGGGAUCUUAAGGCCGAGAGCUGAUGACGAGUUAUCUUUUAGAUGACGAAGUGGUUGAUGCCAUGCUUCCAAGAAAAGCUUCUAAGCUUCAGGUAACCAGGAACCGUACCCCAAACCGACACAGGUGGUUGGGUAGAGAAUACCAAGGCGCUUGAGAGAACUCGGGUGAAGGAACUAGGCAAAAUGGCACCGUAACUUCGGGAGAAGGUGCGCCGGUGAGGGUGAAGGACUUGCUCCGUAAGCUCAUGCCGGUCGAAGAUACCAGGCCGCUGCGACUGUUUAUUAAAAACACAGCACUCUGCAAACACGAAAGUGGACGUAUAGGGUGUGACGCCUGCCCGGUGCCGGAAGGUUAAUUGAUGGGGUUAGCUAACGCGAAGCUCUUGAUCGAAGCCCCGGUAAACGGCGGCCGUAACUAUAACGGUCCUAAGGUAGCGAAAUUCCUUGUCGGGUAAGUUCCGACCUGCACGAAUGGCGUAACGAUGGCGGCGCUGUCUCCACCCGAGACUCAGUGAAAUUGAAAUCGCUGUGAAGAUGCAGUGUAUCCGCGGCUAGACGGAAAGACCCCGUGAACCUUUACUAUAGCUUUGCACUGGACUUUGAAUUUGCUUGUGUAGGAUAGGUGGGAGGCUUUGAAGCGUGGACGCCAGUUCGCGUGGAGCCAACCUUGAAAUACCACCCUGGCAACUUUGAGGUUCUAACUCAGGUCCGUUAUCCGGAUCGAGGACAGUGUAUGGUGGGUAGUUUGACUGGGGCGGUCUCCUCCUAAAGAGUAACGGAGGAGUACGAAGGUGCGCUCAGACCGGUCGGAAAUCGGUCGUAGAGUAUAAAGGCAAAAGCGCGCUUGACUGCGAGACAGACACGUCGAGCAGGUACGAAAGUAGGUCUUAGUGAUCCGGUGGUUCUGUAUGGAAGGGCCAUCGCUCAACGGAUAAAAGGUACUCCGGGGAUAACAGGCUGAUACCGCCCAAGAGUUCAUAUCGACGGCGGUGUUUGGCACCUCGAUGUCGGCUCAUCACAUCCUGGGGCUGAAGCCGGUCCCAAGGGUAUGGCUGUUCGCCAUUUAAAGUGGUACGCGAGCUGGGUUUAGAACGUCGUGAGACAGUUCGGUCCCUAUCUGCCGUGGACGUUUGAGAUUUGAGAGGGGCUGCUCCUAGUACGAGAGGACCGGAGUGGACGAACCUCUGGUGUUCCGGUUGUCACGCCAGUGGCAUUGCCGGGUAGCUAUGUUCGGAAUAGAUAACCGCUGAAAGCAUCUAAGCGGGAAACUAGCCUCAAGAUGAGAUCUCACUGGAACCUUGAGUUCCCUGAAGGGCCGUCGAAGACUACGACGUUGAUAGGUUGGGUGUGUAAGCGCUGUGAGGCGUUGAGCUAACCAAUACUAAUUGCCCGUGAGGCUUGACCAUA
rnacentral:rRNA from 1 species